GAUCUUCUCUAUCUCUUCCAAACAACUUCCAGAUCUGGUGAAUCGACCGUAAGCUACGUCCGAAACCUACAUGCAAUCAAGUAAAUCUCAGUGGAAUUAAGACAUGAAAAAAGGACUCAAAUAGAAGGCUCAAUCUUUGUGAUUGGUACUACUUGGGAUGGAAAGACAAAUUUACUUCUGGGUGUAGCUCAAGUUCAUGCCAACUUGAAGUUGCAUGUGUGGGGUUCUGGAAGAAUCUUAGGAUUUGCUUAAGGUUUACCUCAGAUUCGCUGUCGCAGGCUCCCAUUCGUCUUCCGUCGUCAUUCGUCGUCCAUCGUCUCGUCGUUCUUCGUACUUCUUCAAGAGACAGGUGAGAGAGACAAGAGUGAAGAGAUAGAAAG